rnacentral:rRNA from 1 species
UGGAUCCAGACUUGAUCAUGGCUCAGGACGAACGCUGGCGACGCGCCUAACACAUGCAAGUCGAACGAGAGAAAGGGAGCUUGCUUCCUUGAUCGAGUGGCGGACGGGUGAGUAACGCGUGAGGAACCUGCCUCAAAGAGGGGGACAACAGUUGGAAACGACUGCUAAUACCGCAUAAGCCCACGGCUCGGCAUCGAGCAGAGGGAAAAGGAGCAAUCCGCUUUGAGAUGGCCUCGCGUCCGAUUAGCUAGUUGGUGAGGUAAUGGCCCACCAAGGCAACGAUCGGUAGCCGGACUGAGAGGUUGAACGGCCACAUUGGGACUGAGACACGGCCCAGACUCCUACGGGAGGCAGCAGUGGGGAAUAUUGCACAAUGGGGGAAACCCUGAUGCAGCGACGCCGCGUGGAGGAAGAAGGUCUUCGGAUUGUAAACUCCUGUUGUUGAGGAAGAUAAUGACGGUACUCAACAAGGAAGUGACGGCUAACUACGUGCCAGCAGCCGCGGUAAAACGUAGGUCACAAGCGUUGUCCGGAAUUACUGGGUGUAAAGGGAGCGCAGGCGGGCGAUCAAGUUGGAAGUGAAAUCCAUGGGCUCAACCCAUGAACUGCUUUCAAAACUGAUUGUCUUGAGUAGUGCAGAGGUAGGCGGAAUUCCCGGUGUAGCGGUGGAAUGCGUAGAUAUCGGGAGGAACACCAGUGGCGAAGGCGGCCUACUGGGCACCAACUGACGCUGAGGCUCGAAAGUGUGGGUAGCAAACAGGAUUAGAUACCCUGGUAGUCCACACCGUAAACGAUGAUUACUAGGUGUUGGAGGAUUGACCCCUUCAGUGCCGCAGUUAACACAAUAAGUAAUCCACCUGGGGAGUACGACCGCAAGGUUGCAACUCAAAGGAAUUGACGGA